GAAGGUGGGACAAAUGAUUGGGGUGAAGUCGUAACAAGGUAGCCGUAUCGGAAGGUGCGGCUGGAUCACCUCCUUU
rnacentral:rRNA from 1 species